rnacentral:rRNA from 1 species
CAGCCGCCGCGGUAAUACGUAGGGGGCAAGCGUUAUCCGGAAUCACUGGGUGUAAAGGGUGCGUAGGCGGCGAUAUAAGUCAGAUGUGAAAAACCGAUGCUCAACAUCGGUCCUGCAUUUGAAACUGUAUGGCUAGAGUACAGGAGAGGAAAGUGGAAUUCCUAGUGUAGCGGUGAAAUGCGUAGAUAUUAGGAGGAACAUCAGUGGCGAAGGCGACUUUCUGGACUGUAACUGACGCUGAGGCACGAAAGCGUGGGUAGCGAACAGGAUUAGAUACCCUGGUAGUCCACGCUAUAAACGAUGAGUGCUAGGUGUCGGGGGUCAAACCUCGGUGCCGCCGUAAACACAUUAAGCACUCCACCUGGGGAGUACGUUCGCAAGAAUGAAACUCAAAGGAAUUGACGGGGGCCCGCACAAGCGGUGGAGCAUGUGGUUUAAUUCGAAGCAACGCGAAGAACCUUACCAAAGCUUGACAUCCUGUUGCCCGGUCCAUAAAAGGAUCCUUUUACUUCGGUAAACAACAGAGACAGGUGGUGCAUGGCC